rnacentral:rRNA from 1 species
GACGAACGCUGGCGGCGUGCUUAACACAUGCAAGUCGAACGGAAAGGCUCUGCUUUUGUGGGGUGCUCGAGUGGCGAACGGGUGAGUAACACGUGAGUAACCUGCCCUUGACUUUGGGAUAACUUCAGGAAACUGGGGCUAAUACCGGAUAGGAGCUCCUGCUGCAUGGUGGGGGUUGGAAAGUUUCGGCGGUUGGGGAUGGACUCGCGGCUUAUCAGCUUGUUGGUGGGGUAGUGGCUUACCAAGGCUUUGACGGGUAGCCGGCCUGAGAGGGUGACCGGCCACAUUGGGACUGAGAUACGGCCCAGACUCCUACGGGAGGCAGCAGUGGGGAAUAUUGCACAAUGGGCGGAAGCCUGAUGCAGCAACGCCGCGUGCGGGAUGACGGCCUUCGGGUUGUAAACCGCUUUCGCCUGUGACGAAGCGUGAGUGACGGUAAUGGGUAAAGAAGCACCAGCUAACUACGUG